UGUGAAAACGCCCUUAAAUCCCCUAUAGGGAUGAGGAGCUGUUUCCAGGCACGAAAAUCUGCCCAAAACACCUAGCUUUGCCACACCCACAAGGGAACUCAGCAGUGAUUAACAUUGAAUAUAAGCGACAGCUUGAUUCAGUCAAAGUAAAGAGAGCCGGCAAAUCUGGUGCCAGCCGCCGCGGUUACCCCACGUGGCUCAAAUUGAUUACCCACGGCGUAAAGCGUGAUUAAAGUUAUCUCUAUGCUGAAGUUAAACUAAAACUAAGCCGUAACACGCUUGUUUUACAGAAACUCAAAAACGAAAGUUACUUCAAUUUAAACAACUUGAAUACACCGACAAUCAGGGCACAAACUGGGAUUAGAUACCCCACUAUGCCUGAUCGUAAACUUUAAUUUACACCCCCUCCAUCGCCAGGGAACUACGAGCUAAGCUUAAAACUCAAAGGACUUGACGGUACCCCAUAUCCCCCUAGAGGAGCCUGUCCUAUAAUCGAUAAUCCCCCGUUCAACCUCACCACUUUUAGCUUCUCAGCCUGUAUACCUCCGUCGCAGCUUACCACGUGAGCGAAAUUUAGUGAGCUUAAUGUCCACACGCCCGUACGUCAGGUCAAGGUGCAGU
rnacentral:rRNA from 1 species